rnacentral:Y_RNA from 1 species
AACUGGUCCGAGUGCAGUGGUGUCUUACAACUAAUUGAUCACAGCCAGUUAACAGAUUUCUUUGUUCCUUCUCCACUCCCACUGCUUCACUUGACUAGCCUUAA